rnacentral:misc_RNA from 1 species
AACAUCGCGCACCUGCGGGAACCUCCGGAGGGAUCAUUAAUGAUUGGUGGCUGUUGCUGACUAGUGUUUCUAGUAUGUGCACGCCACACCUUCAAUCCCACUUACACCUGUGCACCUUCUGUAAUAGAUCUAUGUGGAUACGGAGAUGUGAAAGUUUGCGCUCUCCUACUCUGUUGAAGCAGUCUACUACGUUUUUUUACACACACACACACAAUAGUCAUUGAAUGUAUUUUUUAUUCU